rnacentral:rRNA from 1 species
CGUGGGUGAUGAAGGCCUUCGGGUUGUAAAGCCCUGUUGCCUACUAUGAACCGCCGGCGGUGAAUAGCUGUCCGGUCUGACGUAAGUAGGAGAGGAAGCACCGGCUAAAUACGUGCCAGCAGCCGCGGUAAUACGUAUGGUGCGAACGUUGUUCGGAAUCACUGGGCAUAAAGAGCGCGUAGGCGGUUCGGUUAGUCCGAUGUGAAAUCCCUCGGCUCAACCGAGGAACUGCAUCGGAUACUGCCGGACUAGAGUACAGAAGGGGAGAGCGGAAUUCCUGGUGGAGCGGUGAAAUGCGUAGAUAUCAGGAGGAACGCCAGUGGCGAAAGCGGCUCUCUGGUCUGCAACUGACGCUGAGGCGCGAAAGCCAGGGGAGCGAACGGGAUUAGAUACCCCGGUAGUCCUGGCCCUAAACGAUGGGCACUAGGUAGAGGGAGUACCGAUACUUUCUCUGCUGGAGCUAAUGUAUUAAGUGCCCCGCCUGGGGAGUAUGGUCGCAAGGCUA